rnacentral:rRNA from 1 species
GAACGUACGCUGGCGGCACGCCUAACACAUGCAAGUCGAACGAAGUAGCAAUACUUAGUGGCAGACGGGUGAGUAACAUGUAGGUAUCUGCCCUUUGGCCUGGAAUAACACGAGGAAACUUGUGCUAAUACCGGAUAAGUCUUUACGGAGAAAGCUUUAUGCACCAUUGGAUGAGCCUGCACUUGAUUAGUUUGUUGGUGGGGUAAUGGCCUACCAAGACUGUGAUCAAUAGCUGAUUUGAGAGGAUGAUCAGCCACAUUGGGACUGAGACACGGCCCAAACUCCUACGGGAGGCAGCAGUGGGGAAUCUUGCACAAUGGAGGAAACUCUGAUGCAGCGAUGCCGCGUGAGUGAAGAAGGCCUUUGGGUUGUAAAGCUCUUUCGUCGGGGAAGAAAAUGACUGUACCCGAAUAAGAAGGUCCGGCUAACUUCGUGCCAGCAGCCGCGGUAAUACGAAGGGACCUAGCGUAGUUCGGAAUUACUGGGCUUAAAGAGUUCGUAGGUGGUUGAAAAAGUUAGUGGUGAAAUCCCAGAGCUUAACUCUGGAACUGCCAUUAAAACUUUUCAGCUAGAGUAUGAUAGAGGAAAGCAGAAUUUCUAGUGUAGAGGUGAAAUUCGUAGAUAUUAGAAAGAAUACCAAUUGCGAAGGCAGCUUUCUGGAUCAUUACUGACACUGAGGAACGAAAGCAUGGGUAGCGAAGAGGAUUAGAUACCCUCGUAGUCCAUGCCGUAAACGAUGUGUGUUAGACGUUGGAAAUUUAUUUUCAGUGUCGCAGGGAAACCGAUAAACACACCGCCUGGGGAGUACGACCGCAAGGUUAAAACUCAAAUGAAUUGACGGGGACCCGCACAAGUAGUGGAGCAUGUGGUUUAAUUCGAAGAUACGCGCAGAACCUUACCAACACUUGACAUGUUCGUCGCGACUCUAAGAGAUUAGAGUUUUCGGUUCGGCCGGACGAAACACAGGUGCUGCAUGGCUGUCGUCAGCUCGUGUCGUGAGAUGUUGGGUUAAGUCCCGCAACGAGCGCAACCCUCACUUUUAGUUGCCAUCAUUAAGUUGGGCACUCUGAAAGAACUGCCAGUGAUAAGCUGGAGGAAGGUGGGGAUGACGUCAAGUCCUCAUGGCCCUUACGUGUUGGGCUACACACGUGCUACAAUGGUAUCUACAACAGGAAGCAAGACUGCGAAGUUAAGCAAAUCCCUAAAAGAUACCUCAGUUCGGAUUGCACUCUGCAACUCGAGUGCAUGAAGCUGGAAUUACUAGUAAUCGUGGAUCAGCGUGCCACGGUGAAUGCGUUCCCGGGUCUUGUACUCACCGCC